ensembl:lncRNA
AAACAUACACAAUUUCAAGGGUUAGGCUGCUUGAUGCUUUUCCUCACUUAUACCAUUGUCUUAAGUUGGUUCUGGUGCUGCUAAAUGCAAGUGUCAGUAGUCUUAUUACUUAAAACAGCAUGUCUGAAUACCGUCUUUAUUGUUAGCACGUGAAGACUGCUUAAGGCUGAAAAGCAGUUAGUUUUUUGGUCAGUUGGUAGUGCUGUUUGGAGGACUGCCCAAUCUCCAAAUGCUCCCUUUGUCUGUAGCUGCUGCUCUGCAUUUACAGUGAUGAGAAGAUGAGUGAAAACUGAAGUCCUUCUUAAUCUCUGCCAUACAGCCAAACUUUGAGGGAGAGGAAGAGCAAGAGCCUUUCAUACUAAAGUCCUAAGGCACCAAGGGGGAGGAAGAUGGGAAGAAGCCUGCUGUAGCUGCACAGUCAGUGGUGGGGAGGAGCUGCAGGCCAGCCCUGGAGAAGCCUGAGGGUGUUCAUCACUCCCUGCAGCCCUGCUAUACACCUUGCUGUGCAUCCUGCAUGAAAGGCAUAUGUGCUAACUGCCUUCAAGGGAUGGAGGUCCCUCAGGUUGCCUCUGCCUGUGUUCAGCAUCUGCUGGGUGCCCUGCAGUUCUGCCUUUGUGGUGGGUUUGGUGAGGGGCCAAGCCUGGCAUGAGCCCAGCUGGCUCGCCCACACAUGGGAGCAUGGUUCAUGCUCUGGCCUUGUCCCUCUGUAGUGUCAAAGAACUAACCCUGUCUCAGGUCUGGCUUUGGCUCUGGACAGUAGGCAGCCCUCAUGUGAUAGCCAUGCACACUGGAGGCCAGCACAAGCCACAGGCCAUUCCUUACAGGCCACCAAGCCCAGUGCCGUCAGUGAGUGUACUCAGAGCAGCAGGAUCUGGGGUGGCCAUGGGCUGGGUCAGCUGGUCUGCUGGAGUUUCGUCACACUGAAACACCAGAGGGCAUGCAGAAAGGAGCUAGAGCUGAAAGGGGGGUGAGCUCUGCAGGCUUGUUCCAGAUUGGGCAAUAUCCACAGAAGUGACAGAGGCUGUGGUCUUCCAGCCUUAAAGCAGUGAGCUCUGCUUGACUCAGAAGCAUCCCAUUGCCAGUGACUGUCGUGAAUCAGGCACAUGCUUCCUGUCUGAUCAAUUAAUUACUGCCACUGUUAUUACUAUGGCUAAUAAAGUACUUGAAAG